AAAAAGACAGAAGGCUUCCCCUGGAGGAGACUCAUCACACUGUAUUGUUAUUGUCUCUGCUCUUGAGGGCAACAUCCAGUCUGCCUCAGUCACCGUCGUAUCCAGGACACCGGUGGGCAUUCGUGCAGCAAGAAGGAAAAGGGUCAAGUGCAGUCAGAGGACCGGCUAGAGGCAGUAUCUUUGACAGGGAGGCGAGUGGAAGGAAGGAGUUCCAAGCCUGGAGUGAGACCUUUGACUUUCUGACGAUGUGGCCCAAGAGCUCCGAGGGGCCUGGCCAGCACCUGCAGGAGGUGGCUCUGGGAGCUGAGCCAGCCUUCAGCCCCUGAGUCAGCCUUCUGUUGUGAAAGCCUGUCCCCCCACGGCUAGAUUCUUUGGGGCAAGAGGGAAGCCAGCCGUCUGUGGAGCAAGCUGUCUGAUUCUCAGUCCCCCCCGGCAGUGGACUGAGCGCCAGGAGGCCAGGUCUGCAUCCUGGGGCUGCCACUGGUGACUUGGGAAACUGGGCACGACAUUCAGUUCCUUCUCUGUAAGAUGGAGAUAAUACCAGUUCAAAGCAGUCACAAUCUCCUAGAGGAAGAAGAGGGGAAGAGGAGGACACGUGGAGCCCCAUCCAGGGACCUCGGGGCCAGGCUGAGCCCAAGGGGGGAUGUUGGCCGUGAAGUCCACGUUGACUUCUCCCUCAUCCCCUGUGGUAUGAUAAAUCUACAUUUGCCCUUUGUUCCAGGUUCUCGGUACAGAGCUCCUAAAGCCCUCUCGCAUGACCUGGCGGGGUGGGGCUGUGCCGAAUAGCUUCAGGAUGGGGGCUGGUGGCCAGGAAGACUAAGCUGUGAUUAGAGGGUUGGAACUUUCAGUGCCCCCCUCACCUCCAGGGAGGGGAGAAGGGCUGGAGACUGAGUUCCCUCACCAGUGACUUAAUCACGCCUACAUAAUGAGACCUCCAUAAAACCCCUAAGGACUGGUAGGUUGGUGAACACAUCUAGGUGUGGAGAGGGUGGCCCGGAGAGGGCAUGGAAGCCCCGCCCACGCUCCCACCCACCCUUAUUUUGCCCUGUGCAUCUCUUCCAUUUGGAUGUUCCUGAGUUGUAUCUUUUAAA